GAUGGUAUAGCUCAGUGGUAUUGCGCCUGCUUAGCAGGCAUGAGGUCCUGGGUUCAUUCCCCAGUACCUCCA
rnacentral:tRNA from 1 species